UACGUAGGGGCAAGCGUUGUCCGGAAUCAUUGGGCGUAAAGAGCGUGUAGGCGGCCCGAUAAGUCCGCCGUGAAAGUCCAGGGCUCAACCCUGGAAUGCCGGUGGAAACUGUCGGGCUGGAGUCCGGAAGAGGCGAGUGGAAUUCCUGGUGUAGCGGUGAAAUGCGCAGAUAUCAGGAGGAACACCAAUGGCGAAGGCAGCUCGCUGGGACGGUACUGACGCUGGAGACGCGAAAGCGUGGGGAGCAAACAGG
rnacentral:rRNA from 1 species